CAAGAUUCGGGCUGACGCCUGGCAUCUCUUCCACUUCUAAGGCAAAAAUGUCUUUGAAUUCUUUCAGCAGUUGGUGCAAAUCUGCGCCCAACUUGGCAAAAGCAACCGUCCCCACUUUAACGGUUCGUUCCGGACGGCUGUUAUUUAAAACAAUGUCAUUAUUUUCACCAGCCAGCUGGGGACGGAAAUCGUCUGACCGUUCCCCGAUCAAUGAUUGCUAUUGCUUCUCUUUUUUUACGGCCACCAAGUGGUCCGCCUUUCUCUUUUUGUCGGCUGCUUUGGGAGCAGGCGCGACUUCUGUUUCGGGGUUUUUGGAGUCCCUCGGGAGAGUUACAAUUCCAAGAAUGCGCGUCGACCGUCUGUACCUGCAAAAUCACAGAAACUACGGUUGGGUUGAGUUCCGCCUCCGACGAUCAAGUUAGAACGUUUCCGGAAGUAUAAAAGUGCGGAAUGUAAAGGGUUUUUCUCCCGGAUUCCGAGAGAAUUCUGUAAUUAAUAUUGCUCGGGUUUUUUGUGUGUAUUUAUGAAUGUGUAAUAAAUGAGGAUUUACCUCUAUUUAUAGUGGAAGGAGAUCAAUUCCCCUUUUAGGGUUAAAGUGCCACGUGUCAGUAGAGGAUUGGAUCCCCUAGGAUCUCUCUGAGGCUGACACGUGUCAGCAUGCUAUUGGACCACGCAGAUAGAGUAUUUUUACCCUAAACAUUUUCCCCUCACAAGUGUGACGUGGCUUGCCACGUGGCACAUAUGACAUGUGUCACGCUUUGAGAAGGAGACGUUUCGUCUCCUUCUCUCUCGUUUUUUUUUAUUUUUUAUUUUUGGAAUUUGAAGUGGGGAGGUGACGGUUCGCCAUCUGGGUUCUUCUUCUAUAAGUAGAAACCCCCCCCCCCCCUCAUUUUCAACACUUUACAUAUUUUCAAAAAACUUCCUACGAAAAGAGCUCUAAGACCGGCUGCUUUUAUUUGCAAAAACUUCCUCUUUCACUCAUCCGCCUUCCGUUUGAGUGCUCUUUGCCCAAUACAAACUUCAAACAGCCUGAGGACCCUUUGACCUUUCCCUAGCUUCCAAUACACCCACAGCCGGUCACAACCGUCUGGGGUAUCUUCCAGCAAAUUUCCAGAAAAACGCCUGGGUCUUUAGUAAAAUUCAGCUGCUCUUCAAGGGGGUACAUCCGGCCUACCGUCUGGGGUAUCAUCAAGCAACAAAAAGGAUUUCCGACUGAUGAUUCAAGGAGUCAACCGUCUUCAGAUUUUUUACAACUUCAAGGUACUGUCUCUACCCCUUGCAACGUUUUUGCGUUUUUCCGGUUGUAUAGCUUGUAAAGAAUAUGGACUCACCCAACUCACACACGGCACGGCCUAGGACAGUUGUCAGCCGGUCACCAGAUACGGUUGAGUCUAGGACUGGGGAUGCCGUAUGGGGGUGUUUGGACCACCCUUACUCUUUUGCAAACCCGACCGUCUCUGUUCAUGUGCAGGACAAAAUGGCUCGGACGAGACGGACGACUGUAGACCCCAAAUAUUAGUCAGACGGAUCAGCCGAAGCUCCGGCUGACUUUGUACCUUAUGACCAGCCGAGCGUACUUAGCACGCCCGGAGAUGAUAUCUUAGACGAUUCCGAGGACAUAGGCGGCGAAGAGACCGUCGAGCAAUUAGACUCCACAGAGUCUACUAUGGAACCGGAUGCACCCCAAGAGGAUGAGGAGACAUAUAAAUGGUCCUCUAUCAACAAUCCAACAGAGGCGCACAUGACCGCCUCGGAUGUGGUCACUCUAAAUGCCACCUUUCCCGUAUUUUUGAAAAAGCGCCCGGUUUGGGCAGGAUGGGAGAUUGUGGUACCGCCUGUAGAGGCAACCGUCGUCUGGGAUGACGACCUUGAUCAUGCCGAUGAUUAUUUCGGCUGCUAUGAGGCGGCUUUCAAAGCCGGCCUCCGGUUCCCCCUCCAAUAAAAGCCAUUCUAAGGGGUUACGACCUUGGCGUUUGACAGCUAGCACCUAACUCUUGGGUGAAUAUACUAGGAUAUAUAGCCGCCUGUGAGAUGCAGGACAUAAUGCCUAGCUGGGAGGCGUUUGCACAUAUGCACUACCUCUGCCGUGCCCCAGGCGGCUGGAAUGCGUGGUAUACAUUGACCAUGCAUCCGGAAUUCAUGAUGACGCUUGACCAGCCGUCAAAGUGGGGCAGCUGGAAGAGAAAGUUUUACAUGGUUUCUUCCUCAUCGCUGCAACUAAACCACCGGUUGCGUCGCUACAAUACACACCCGGCUCUCCUUGGAAAGAAGUGCGCCCUUCCUAGAGUGCCGGAAGAGGCUUGGACAGAAAUAAUGGAGACGGGUCUCUUCAUAAAGACCUCCUUGCCUUUGGAUGAUGGGACAGAAGUCAUUGUCCCCAAGAAGUGGGUCCCUUAUCCAAACUGGCUAAAGGACGAGGCGUUCCUUUCCGCCUGUGGCCUAAGCGCAAUGUGGAGCAGACGUAUGUUGAUUGUUAACCAGCACUUUAAGCCAUCUGUAUAAUACUUGAAUGGGUUUUGACUUUUUGAUUUUUAUUCCUUGCAGAGAAAGGAUUGGCUAAAUCUGCUGCAGAGAUCCGGAAGGAUCAAUUGGAGAAAAAGAGGGCCUAACUGGCGGCCAAAGAUGAUGGGAUAGGGAGCAAGAAUGAUCCUUGUUCUUUAAGACAGAUGCUGAUGAGACUGGGAGAGGAGCCCUCCCAGCCUACUUCCAAAUUGAGAAGGGUUCCGGCUGCCUCUACCUCUACCGGAAGGUCGCCUGUGCCUGAGAGGCCCACCUCAGCGGGGAAAAGCCCGAAAGACCUUACCCUUAGCUCAGGGCCGGCUGAGGUUGAAACGAGGUAGCCCGAAAUUCCCUCUAGUCGGGUGCUUGCUGUAGCGUCCGGCUCCAAUGCGGCUGGGGGUGGGAUGACCCCUCAGCUUGAAAAUCAAGAUGCCUUUUCUCGUUAGCCUGACCUCCAAAGUUAUUCCAAGAGGAUGCUGAGGACCCUCACCCGGUCCGAGAAGGAGGCGGUGCUGGGCGUGCACCAAGUCAACAUAGACCGCAUCAACUCACUGCUCGCUGAGAUAAUUGACCGGUUGGGGUGCUUUUGUGCCAGUUUAUUCUGUUGCAGGUUGUAGCGUAAUAGAAAGGUUGUCAGGCUUCUUGGACGGCUGUCCAUUGUUUGUUUUGGGGAUACCCUUGGACUUCAGCAUAUAGGACUUCAAAGCCCCCUCAUCCGCCAGAUGGUCCAAUAACUUCCUGAGGCUAUAGCAGCCAUUGGUGUCAUGGCCUAUGUCCUCAUGGAAAUGACAGUACUUGCUCUUGUCUCGGCUUUUGAUGGGACUUUUCAUAGCAGUCGGUUUUUCAAUGGUCAACCGGUCUUCGAUAUCCAUGAGGAUGGAGGAGCAGUCCUUGUUGAACUCGUACUUGGAGACGUAUGGCUUCAACUCUCUCUUUUUCU